GCUCUCGAGAACAGGAAGACAGAAUCUUCGCUCCGGGAAAUGGGAAGAAUUAUGCGAUGGAAUAAAACAGAGAUUGGAGUGCCUUUGGAUUAGGAAAGCAGAAAAUUGGUUGGUUCCUGCUCUUGAGGCUGCACAGAAUAACUUGUCACGGCUGAUCAGGUUUCUGGUGUUUGUCAUUAGACCUGUGCUUUAAAAGAAUCGCUGAACACAAUUGUACCAUCUGACACAUAAGAAGUGAACACCACAACCUUACAUCACCCAGUCCAGGCAUGAUGUGGAGUCCUGUAGCGUAUUGGUUGGAGCACUCGCCUC